UGGGGUGUCGCCAAGCGGUAAGGCAGGGGACUUUGAAUCCUCCAUUCGUUGGUUCGAAUCCAGCCACCCCAG
rnacentral:tRNA from 1 species